CGUAAAUCGGCCAAUAACAUUCUAUGCAACACCUAGAAAGAUAAUGCAAGAACGGAUUUUAAAGAGUUUCCAGUCUAUUCGAAAGGAGCAGAGUGAAAGAAGAACCUGCCAUAUAUGAAUUAACAAUAAGAUGUAAGAGAAACUGUUCGGUCAAUAAAUUUAUUCUUGAUAAUAAAAUAAUAAAAGGACAAUUGUUAAAAUAAAUAGAACGUUUCGAUGAAUUACAGAAAAUUCAAAUAAUGAAGGCUCUACUUUACUUGGGAGAAAAAGAAAAAAGAAUACAAAGAUUACAGUUAAGGGUCAGCUAGGGAGAAAAAGUAGAGAGUUGAUAACGAGUGACUAACUCACCUGACGACUAUUGCACCGACAAUGAGUCGUUAAACUCCCAACGACGAAUACGAAAGAAACGUCAUCGUUUUUAACGAAGAACUUUUAUUCUCUUAUAUUUACCUGGCUCUUACGCUUUGGCAGCAACUAGUUGAAAAGAAGGAAAUUAUAUUUACCUACCCUGGUUAGUUCGUGCCGUACUACUUGAGGAUUCUUGUCGAUGGCAACGCUAAUGCAAAGGGCGAAAAAGGCUUCUUCGUAUCUACCUAAAGCCGAUAAUGCUACUCCUCUUCUAUAAUGACCCUGUUGAUAAGAUCAUCGUUAGACACGAAGAAACUUUACUUUGUUCUUUUCCAAAGGAAAAGUAGAAAAAGAAAUAAAAACACAAUGCUAAUCUCACCUUGCCCCAAUCAGGCCUAAGCCUAACUGCCUGAUCGGCAUCUGUGAGAGACGCUUGCGGCCUUUUUAACAAGAGCAAGACAUGGGCCCUGUUGCUAAGAUGGAGUGGGCUGUUUGGCACUGAAACAGAAGGAAAUAACGUUCGUAGAACCUGUUGUUCAUCAUUAUUUCUUCUUGCCGAGAAUACCAAUUUGGUUAAAGCUUUCUCAUAUUUGUUUAGAAAGUCAAAGAUAAAACAAAUUUUGUUCUCUGUAAUUAAGAGACACUAGUUAUGUAUGUUGAUAUUAUGUGAUUUUCAAGUUGAUAUUUUUAUCGAUAUGCGGAGGAUAUAUUGACUCGUAAUUUGAAACUUUUGGUUAAUUAAAUCAGUCAAUUGUAACGUAAAAUAACUGAAAAGUUAUCAUCGCGUUAACUUAAUCGAUCGAUUUGUGGAUAUACAAUUUAUCAAGUAAUUAUAGAUUUUGCAAGAAUUUUUUUCUAAACAAAUGAUAGUUUUGAACUAUUGAGAAAUACGUUUAUUAUCUAACAUCGAUCGAAGAAAUUUAAAGAUUAAUAUCUUUACGCUUUCCGAUAUACAAGUACGAAUUUAGGUCGAUAUGGUCGAUUAAACAAAUUACUGAUAUAUAUUAAUUGCCUACUAGCUACCCUACGGCAUAAGCAAUACGAAAUUGCAAUACGAAAUUGAAAUCGUUUGGUCGGAUAAGCCAAAUUGUAUAUGACGCGAAGACGAGUGUGGCGAUAGUCCGAGGCUUAACGCGACGAUGAAUUUUAUUUUAUAAUCGUACCUAUCUCGAAAUAGAUUCUACGUUCUCGUUUUAUGGGCUCACAUAAUCAAUUCGAGUUGGCUCCACGAUUGCAACUAUUCCCUAUUCAUUAUUAUUUUAUUUCAAUUUAUACUUUUCAAUAUAAGAAUAAAUAAUCGUUUGUCAUACAUAUGUAAACUGUACAUGUUCGAUUAUUUUAUUUUUAUAUAAUAACAUACGUAGACAUCGAGUUAAUAAUAAAUGAUUUAUUUAAAUAAAUAAACUUGUACGUAGUAUAUCUAAUUUUGUAUAUAUAGAGAAGCUCUAUGACAAGUGGUUCGUUCCUGUACGUCGAACGUGUGACCAAAUAUAGUCAAAGACCGAAGAUAGUUUAAAUGCGUUUCUUGCGAGUCAUGAGGAGAUCGGUUCGAAAAGGAGGGAGAGAGGAGACGCGUACUUCGAAAGCGUGGACCGUGAAGAGUCGAUUCGACGAGGAGAGCGUGACGUCGAGUGGACGCGGAGACAAGCGGAGGCAGACGGGUGCAAACGACGGGAGUGCAUCCUGGCAUUGUGAGCAAUGUCAUUGCCUUCGUGGCGAGAACUCUUUCUAUAUGUUGGUGGAGAAUGAAUUUCCGGCACGCGCUACGAGCACCGACGGCUCAUGCCAAUUGUUAAAAUAAAUGAAAUAUUCGAUUAUUA